rnacentral:rRNA from 1 species
AUUGAACGCUGGCGGCAGGCCUAACACAUGCAAGUCGAACGAGUGGCGGACGGGUGAGUAAUGUCUGGGAAACUGCCUGAUGGAGGGGGAUAACUACUGGAAACGGUAGCUAAUACCGCAUACCAUCGGAUGUGCCCAGAGGGGCUUAGCUAGUAGGUUGGGUAAAGGCUCACCUAGGCGACGAUCCCUAGCUGGUCUGAGAGGAUGAACAGCCACACUGGAAAUGAGACAAGGGCCAGACGACUACGGGAGGGAGCAGUGGGGAAUAUUGCACAAGGGGCGCAAGCCGGAUGAAGCCAUGCCGCGGGUAUGAAGAAGGCCUGCGGGUUGUAAAGGACUUUCAGCGGGGAGGCGUUACCCGCAGAAGAAGCACCGGCUAACUCCGUGCCAGCAGCCGCGGUAAUUC